CCUGACYGCUAUCGGAUUGAUACUAAGCCAUGCGAGUCAUUGUAGCAAUACAAGGCAGACGGCUCAGUAACGCGUAGUCAACCUACCCUAUGGACGGGAAUAACCUCGGGAAACUGAGUAUAAUGCCCGAUAGAACACUAUGCCUGGAAAGGUUUGUGUUCCAAACGAUUUAUCGCCGUAGGAUGGGACUGCGGCCUAUCAGUUUGUUGGUGAGGUAAUGGCCCACCAAGACUAUUACAGGUACGGGCUCUGAGAGGAGUAGCCCGGAGAUGGGUACUGAGACACGGACCCAGGCCCUAUGGGGCGCAGCAGGCGAGAAAACUUUGCAAUGUGCGAAAGCACGACAAGGUUAAUCCGAGUGGUUUCUGCUAAAGGAACCUUUUGACAGUCCUAAAAACACUGUUGAAUAAGGGGUGGGCAAGUUCUGGUGUCAGCCGCCGCGGUAAAACCAGCACCUCAAGUGGUCAGGAUGAUUAUUGGGCCUAAAGCAUCCGUAGCCGGCUCUGUUAGUUUUCGGUUAAAUCUGUACGCUCAACGUACAGGCUGCCGGAAAUACUGCAGAGCUAGGGAGUGGGAGAGGUAGACGGUACUCGGUAGGAAGGGGUAAAAUCCUUUUGAUCUAUUGAUGACCACCUGUGGCGAAGGCGGUCUACCAGAACACGUCCGACGGUGAGGGAUGAAAGCUGGGGGAGCAAACCGGAUUAGAUACCCGGGUAGUCCCAGCUGUAAACUAUGCAAACUCAGUGAUGCAUUGGCUUGUGGCCAAUGCAGUGCUGCAKGSAAGCCGUUAAGUUUGCCGCCUGGGAAGUACGUACGCAAGUAUGAAACUUAAAGGAAUUGCCGKGGGAGCACCACACGGGGUGAAKCCUGCGAUC
rnacentral:rRNA from 1 species